UGCUGUGAGAGAACGCGAGACUCUGCGAGAACAGCACGAGAAAUUCAACAAGGCGGCGCGACACCGGUAGUAAACAACAGCGCGACAAACUAUCCGCCAAUUUAAAUAAAUAACUACCUUAUUUUACGGAAAAUAAUCAACCACCCUACCAUUCUGGAUAACACCGAAGAAAGUUUCGAGUAUAUCGACGAGUGCUUCGAGCGUCUGGUAAUGGGGAAAAAGGAGACGGCUCCCAACAAGCGUUCCCGUCCGUCUGACUCACCUGAGUCACCUGGAGCUAGCUCGGCGGACAAAAACAUCACGGACAUCCUGGAGUCAAUCGAGAAAAAAAUAUCAAGCUUCGACGCACGUCUGGCGCUAGUGGAACUCCUCCACAAAGAGUUUAUGGCCCUCCGCGACUCCCUGGAAUUUAGCCAGCAGCAGGUGAUUUCUCUCGCCACCGAGAACGAGGCCCUGAAAGGAACGGUGCAGUCCAUGACGGAGGAUGUGGCUCAGCUAGCGGCCGAAAAUAAAAAAAUAAAAGAAGGCAUUAUCGAUCUGCAGGCCCGCAGCAUGAGGGACAACCUGGUGUUCUCGGGGAUUCCAGAACAGGCAGAGGAAAACACUGAAACCACAAUUAAAAACUUCAUUAAACAACAGAUGAAGAUUCCAGCGGAAGUUGUCGACAAGAUGGCGUUCCACCGUUCGCAUAGACUUGGAGGAAGACGACCGGAUGGCCAGCGCCCCCGACCCAUCGUUGCCAAGUUUCAUGACUUUAAGCAGAAGGAACUGGUUAAGAGCCGGGGCAGACAGCUGAAGGGAACCGACUACAGCGUUAACGACCAGUUCCCCAAGGAGAUCCUCGACCGCCGCCGCCGACUGUUCCCCAUCCGUAAGAGGUUCAUGGCAGAAGGCUGCAGGGCUGUCAUCAGCGUCGACAAACUGUACGUCAACGGAGAGCUCUACCGGGACCGGGAAGCAACUCCGUGGCUGUACUAGCAGGUGAGACAACCGGCCAAGGUGAUGGAAGCAGAGUUAUGACUGCAAACCACUGAAUUGCCUGAAAACCAAGAGAAGAGGAAGCAUCACUUGACUCAGAGACACGCUGGAGUUUGUGCACAAACCAGACAGACGAGUUCCAGCAGGUACUGCAUGGGUUCAGGAUAGAGUUUAGCCGUCAAAGAAAACAGAAGCGGUGUAGCUGGCAAAUGUCAGCUUGGCUGUGACCCCAGUUUGGUCUUUGGAGAGCUCCACACCGUCGACUAUCUCAGCUAAGCCGUUCAGGGUCAAGGGUGUGUCAUUAACCUGCAUCACAAUGUGAGAGACAAAGUGGAUGUGAAUAUCCGACCCAUUCAGUACCAGUGUCACACUGUCCAAAAAGCUCACAUCUUUACGACGGCGCUCCUGGAAGUUGGCCAGCACUUGCAAACUUGGAACCGAGAAAUGGGACAGCAGAGAGGGUUACAAGUAACUCUACGAAGGACCAGAGCUUCAUCACAGAUUACAGAAGAGCAGUUUUCAGGGUCCUGCAGAGGCCACAGUACAGUGUACGCCAGCUGGCCCUCUAUGUAGAACAUUGGAGCCAUGCGACAGCUGGGCUCAUCGGAGUGCUGCACCUGGGAGCCAAACUCAUCCAUAAUGUACCACACAGGGACCUUGUC